GCAGUGCCCUUUUCAGAAAGGUGCCAGUCACUUAGAUUAUAUGUAACUGGUUCCUCUCUGAGUGGACUAAGUCUUA
ensembl:miRNA